rnacentral:rRNA from 1 species
AUGAACGCUGGCGGCGUGCCUAAUACAUGCAAGUCGAGCGAACAGACGAGGAGCUUGCUCCUCUGACGUUAGCGGCGGACGGGUGAGUAACACGUGGAUAACCUACCUAUAAGACUGGGAUAACUUCGGGAAACCGGAGCUAAUACCGGAUAAUAUAUUGAACCGCAUGGUUCAAUAGUGAAAGACGGUUUUGCUGUCACUUAUAGAUGGAUCCGCGCCGCAUUAGCUAGUUGGUAAGGUAACGGCUUACCAAGGCAACGAUGCGUAGCCGACCUGAGAGGGGGAACGGCCACACAGGAAAUGAGACACGGUACAGAAUCCUACGGGAGGCAGCAGGAGGGAAGCUUACGAAAGGGGAGAAAGCCUGAAGGAGCAACGCCGAGUGAGGGAUGAAGGUCUUCGGAUCGUAAAACUCUGUUAUUAGGGAAAAACAAAUGGGUAAGUAAAUAUGCACGUCUUGAAGGGAACGAAUCAGAAAGCCACGGCUAACUACGU